rnacentral:lncRNA from 1 species
GUGUGAGAGAGCCUGGGAGUGUAGCUGUGCGCGCACUCGCUCCCUCCCUCCUCGCUUGGCUCGCUCGCUCGCUCUUUCCCUCGCCCGCCCGCCGCCUGGUUCAGACUCGCUCACGGUCUCAGGGCGGGAGGAUCCGGAGAGAGGAGCCCCGAGAGCUCGGUGUGCGGCGGCGGCUGCGGCCACUCCGGUUCCGAGUCCCACCUGCUGGCGGCCCAGAGAAGAGGAGGAGGAAAGGGAAGGAGCCGCAGCAGCAGCAGAAGGAAACCCGGUCCUUCCUCCAGCUUACACCUACCUCCCCCCAGGGCUUUGAAAUCCUCUGAAGCCCCCAACCCCCCUUCUCCCUGGCCCCGGGUGGCCUCGUGGAAAGCGUGCGAGUCCCCCGCCCUCUCCCAGCCCUCGCCGGCCCAAGGCUGCCGCUGCUGCAGCCCCUCCUGCCCGCUGGCCGUGACCGCCGCUAACGAGGGAGCGAGGCGGAGAGAGAGAGGGGCUGCGAGGAGAAGGACCCGGGCAGGCACCGGCGCCUACUGCAAUGUGCCGGGGAGCCGCCGCCUCCUGGCCUCAGCCCCUCUGAACCAGCCUCAGGGGAGUGGAGGAAGAGGACAAGCGAUACGAGGUAGCUGCGAGCCGCAGAGACAGAGGGGAGGAGAGCGCGAUCGGGAGAGAGCGAGCUAGCAAGAAAGCCGGGAGAGAGCGCGGGCGAAGAGAGGAGGAGCACCAGCAGGGCGCACCAUGCCGGGCUGGAAGAAGAACAUCCCCAUCUGUUUGCAAGCCGAAGAGCAGGAGAAAGGUGAGCGCGCGCGCCAGGGCGAGGAGGAGGAGGAGGAGAAGGAGAAAAAGGAGGAGGGACCUGGAGGGCAGGUUCGGCCCGGGCAGCCAGCCUGCCGCGCCUCCAUCUCCGCCUCCGCCUCCUUGCGCCUAGCCCGGCCUGGGACCAGGCAGCAGACUCGGGAUCUUGUCCGACCAUCGUUUUGUCUUUAGGUCCGGUGCCAGGAGCCCUCACCCCUCGCUAAGAGGGGGGAGGGAAACCGCUGGCACGGAGCGGGGGCGCGCUGCUGGCAACACAGGGGGACUCUUCCACAAUCAACUUUUAAUUUGGGGAAAGUUUUCCGCUGAGGCGGGCACAGCCUCCUCCACACCUUCCCGUCUGAG